rnacentral:lncRNA from 1 species
GCCAUUUAGAACUUGUGAUCAGUAAAGGGGAGGUGUUAGAAUUUUCUAUAUGGCUUAGCUCUCCUUCUAUGACAUUACUUGACAUGUCAUCCUCAUGGUCUUUAUGACUCCUAUGGUUUGAUCGUCUUGAUGGAUUGCUAGGAUCAUCAUGAGACUGAAAAGGAGAGGUAUAAGAGGGGUCUCUAAGGUCAAGGAUGGAUUUAGAAUUUGUGAACAUGGAAGGGG